AGAGUUUGAUCAUGGCUCAGAGCGAACGCUGGCGGCAGGCUUAACACAUGCAAGUCGAGCGCCCCGCAAGGGGAGCGGCAGACGGGUGAGUAACACGUGGGAACGUGCCUUUUGGUUCGGAACAACCCAGGGAAACUUGGGCUAAUACCGGAUAAGUCCUUACGGGGAAAGAUUUAUCGCCAAAAGAUCGGCCCGCGUCUGAUUAGCUAGUUGGUGGGGUAAUGGCCCACCAAGGCUACGAUCAGUAGCUGGUCUGAGAGGAUGAUCAGCCACAUUGGGACUGAGACACGGCCCAAACUCCUACGGGAGGCAGCAGUGGGGAAUAUUGGACAAUGGGGGCAACCCUGAUCCAGCCAUGCCGCGUGAGUGAUGAAGGCCUUAGGGUUGUAAAGCUCUUUUAGCAGGGAAGAUAAUGACGGUACCUGCAGAAAAAGCCCCGGCUAACUUCGUGCCAGCAGCCGCGGUAAUACGAAGGGGGCUAGCGUUGCUCGGAAUCACUGGGCGUAAAGCGCACGUAGGCGGCUUCUUAAGUCAGGGGUGAAAUCCUGGAGCUCAACUCCAGAACUGCCUUUGAUACUGAGAAGCUUGAGUUCGGGAGAGGUGAGUGGAACUGCGAGUGUAGAGGUGAAAUUCGUAGAUAUUCGCAAGAACACCAGUGGCGAAGGCGGCUCACUGGCCCGAUACUGACGCUGAGGUGCGAAAGCGUGGGGAGCAAACAGGAUUAGAUACCCUAGUAGUCC
rnacentral:rRNA from 1 species